rnacentral:rRNA from 1 species
CAGUAGCCGCGGUAAUACGUAGGUGGCAAGCGUUGUCCGGAAUUAUUGGGCGUGAAGGGCUCGCAGGCGGUUUCUCAAGUCUGAUGUGAAAGCCCCCGGCUCAACCGGGGAGGGUCAUUGGAAACUGGGAAACUUGAGUGCAGAAGAGGAGAGUGGAAUUCCACGUGUAGCGGUGAAAUGCGUAGAGAUGUGGAGGAACACCAGUGGCGAAGGCGAUUCUCUGGUCUGUAACUGACGCUGAGGAGCGAAAGCGUGGGGAGCGAACAGGAUUAGAUACCCGUGUAGUCCCUGUCUCUUAUAC